rnacentral:rRNA from 1 species
CUCUUCGGUUAAUACCCGGAGACGAUGACAUUAGCUGCAGAAUAAGCACCGGCUAACUCUGUGCCAGCAGCCGCGGUAAUACAGAGGGUGCAAGCGUUAAUCGGAAUUACUGGGCGUAAAGCGAGCGUAGGUGGCUUGAUAAGUCAGAUGUGAAAUCCCCGGGCUUAACCUGGGAACUGCAUCUGAUACUGUUAAGCUAGAGUAGGUGAGAGGGAAGUAGAAUUCCAGGUGUAGCGGUGAAAUGCGUAGAGAUCUGAAGGAAUACCGAUGGCGAAGGCAGCUUCCUGGCGUCAUACUGACACUGAGGCUCGAAAGCGUGGGUAGCAAACAGGAUUAGAUACCCUGGUAGUCCACGCCGUAAACGAUGUC